rnacentral:rRNA from 1 species
GUCUACGGCCAUACCACCCUGAACGCGCCCGCCCGAUCUCGUCUGAUCUUGGAAGCUAAGCAGGAUCGGGCCUGGUUAGUACUUGGAUGGGAGGAAUAUUAUAGGUGAAUUGAAAUUU